AUUGAACGCUGGCGGCAGGUCUAACACAUGCAAGUCGAACGGUAACAGGAAACAGCUUGCUGUUUCGCUGACGAGUGGCGGACGGGUGAGUAAUGUCUGGGAAACUGCCUGAUGGAGGGGGAUAACUACUGGAAACGGUAGCUAAUACCGCAUAACGUCGCAAGACCAAAGAGGGGGACCCUCGGGCCUCUUGCCAUCGGAUGUGCCCAGAUGGGAUUAGCUUGUUGGUGGGGUAACGGCUCACCAAGGCGACGAUCCCUAGCUGGUCUGAGAGGAUGACCAGCCACACUGGAGCUGAGACACGGUCCAGACUCCUACGGGAGGCAGCAGUGGGGAAUAUUGCACAAUGGGCGCAAGCCUGAUGCAGCCAUGCCGCGUGUAUGAAGAAGGCCUUCGGGUUGUAAAGUCUUUUCAGCGG
rnacentral:rRNA from 1 species